rnacentral:rRNA from 1 species
AUUGAACGCUGGCGGCAGGCCUAACACAUGCAAGUCGAACGGUAACAGGAAACAGCUUGCUGUUUCGCUGACGAGUGGCGGACGGGUGAGUAAUGUCUGGGAAACUGCCUGAUGGAGGGGGAUAACUACUGGAAACGGUAGCUAAUACCGCAUAACGUCGCAAGACCAAAGAGGGGGACCCUCGGGCCUCUUGCCAUCGGAUGUGCCCAGAUGGGAUUAGCUUGUUGGUGGGGUAACGGCUCACCAAGGCGACGAUCCCUAGCUGGUCUGAGAGGAUGACCAGCCACACUGGAACUGAGACACGGUCCAGACUCCUACGGGAGGCAGCAGUGGGGAAUAUUGCACAAUGGGCGCAAGCCUGAUGCAGCCAUGCCGCGUGUAUGAAGAAGGCCUUCGGGUUGUAAAGUACUUUCAGCGGGGAGGAAGGUAGUAAAGUUAAUACCUUUGCUCAUUGACGUUACCCGCAGAAGAAGCACCGGCUAACUCCGUG